GUGCUCCAUUUGGCUGCACAUGCGCUAAAUUGGAACGAUACCGGGAAGAUUAGCGUGGCCCCUGCAAGCAUGACAUGCAAAUUUGUAAAGCGUUCUGUGCUUUU
ensembl:snRNA U6 U6 spliceosomal RNA